CACACACGCACACGUACGCAUGCAAACACAUACACACCAGAGGCGGCUGGUGGUUUUUAAAGUGAGGGAGGAAGGACUGCGCGCUUGGUUGCCAUUGGCCUGCUUGCACUGUUGGUGAUUGGUGGCAUAAGAAUGUGAGACUCAAGUUGUUUCAGGGUGUUUUGGUGAACUACAAAAUAGCAGGGAGGGAGUUAUGUGAACAAAAUGUAUACAAAGCCACCAGUGGCAUCACUGUCAUUUGAGAAGGAAAGGAUGCAAAGCAUAUUAGUCAAAUCAGGCCUACUAUUGAUUUGUAAAAGUAAAUAAAAAAAUCUGGGCCUAUCAUUGGGCCUAUUUUUGCCCUCACUGACUGAAGUUAUUUAGCUAUGUUUAUUUUCAGUUACAAUUGCUUGUAAUGCUACCAGUAAGUCAUUGCGUACCUAGCAAACCAUGUAGCACUCACAACACUGACGUUGCCAUUACUUCUGGUGACCUUGAUUUUGGGAAGUGGUCUACCUCUUUCUUUGGUCGCUAACUUAGCACUGUAACUGAAUGAAUGGAAUGCUUUUUGUAAUAAGACGUUAACAAUGUCCUCAGUUUCCAAUGUUUCCAUUGUGCAUUUAGGAUCUCGCUAUCGCAGAUUUCACUUGCUCUGCGUCUCUCAGACUGAGCACCGCGGCAACGAAGACCGGGUUUGUUAUCGACAGCGUUGCCAGAUUGGGCAGAUUUCCCGCCCAAUGAUAAUUCUUCCAGCCUAACAUGGUUAAAAGUAGCCCAAUUGGACGGAUAGAUUUUUUGCGCGAAUCAGACCCCUUAAGGUCCCACCCACUCAGAGGAGGACUUUCCUCCUCUCUCCCAUUGAAACCCAUUUUAUCCACCGGCCGCCAGUACUUUCGGGAAAAUGAAUGGGAGUCAACGGAGGCGGAGGGAGGACGUUCCUCCCUGAAGUAAUAGUCAAAAGGCGAUAGGGGGUGCUAAUGUCCCUUUAC